rnacentral:rRNA from 1 species
CUUUUAAUGAGAGUUUGAUCCUGGCUCAGGACGAACGCUGGCGGCGUGCCUAAUACAUGCAAGUAGAACGCUGAUGUUUGGUGUUUACACUAGACUGAUGAGUUGCGAAC